rnacentral:rRNA from 1 species
ACGGGGCCCGCACAAGCGGAGGAACAUGUGGUUUAAUUCGAUGAUACGCGAGGAACCUUACCUGGGCUUAAAUGUAGAGUGCAUUUUUUAGAGAUAGAAAUUCCCUUCGGGGCUUUUCUGCAAGGUGCUGCAUGGUUGUCGUCAGCUCGUGCCGUGAGGUGUCGGGUUAAGUCCCAUAACGAGCGCAACCCUUAUCGUUAGUUGCCAUCUGGUAAUGCAGGGGACUCUAGCGAAACUGCCACCGUAAGGUGAGAGGAAGGUGGGGAUGACGUCAAAUCAGCACGGCCCUUAUGUCCAGGGCUACACACGUGUUACAAUGGGCGGUACAAAGGGUCGCGAACCCGCGAGGGGGAGCCAAUCCCAAAAAGCCGCUCUCAGUUCGGAUUGCAGGCUGCAACUCGCCUGCAUGAAGCCGGAAUCGCUAGUAAUCGCGGAUCAGCAUGCCGCGGUGAAUACGUUCCCGGGCCUU